CAUAUGCCGAAUAUAUAUAUUCUAGCUACCUUCUUAUCGUUUACUACUUGGCGUAAUAAUCGUCCAAAUCCAUAAUGCAAUCGUGUAAUGACAAUGUAUUUUGCUUUUAGGUAACAUUGCUUGUUUAAGGCUAUACCUGUUUUUAAACCUUUCAUUCAUUCAUUGUACCUCAUACGUUCCAGUGUACUUAAUUAUAAUUAUAAAUAACUGCAAUGCAAUUAAAUUUUCCUAAACGUGCAUUUAGUACUAACAAGCGAAGAGUUGUGGUCGGACUAUUCUGAGGUGCUCCUUUCUUAACACAAUCUCACAAAAUAUUGGCUGGUCUCUUCGAAUACGACCGUUUAGUUGCUGGUUCGUAUUUUUAACUUUAUUUGCACCGCGCUUCCAGAAAUCACUUUUGCCGUUUUUUCUAUUAUCAUCUAGCAGGCAUAUUUCUAGACGCUUUCUUAUAAACUUCUCGAAAACUGACGAAAAAAUAAGUUUUCUUUAUAUAAACAUAGCUUCUUAUAUUGACGUUACUCUUGACUCUUGUUAUAAUCUUCGUUGGCUUGGGGGCUAAACUGUCGGCUGGCGCUGGCUGUGCUCAUCUGAGCCAGCUUUUACGAUUUGUUCUGGGUGCUCAGUAAUCGUAUGUCGGCGUGCAACGCAAGCAGCGUUUGUUCAGGCAAGAAAUGCAACCACCCUUGCUGAUUUUGGACCAAGGACUGGUCCGAAACAUUCCGAUGUACCUGAGUGCGCUUACAAAUCGACUCGGGCCUUUAUGAAUUGACCAAACUCAUCACGGCUACCCGUCCCAGGCUGCGUAGUCGCGCUGACUAUUCCCGACAGCCGAAAUUUGUUUUCUCGGUUGCCUGCUGUGGUAAAUCUCCCAGCAAAUAAUACUUGCUUGUGUUAUCUAUUCGACGACAACGUUCUUGGACGCGUGUUUUGCCACGACCACCCCACGCUAAAGUUAAUCGAUUUAACUGAGGUCUAUUUUUAUGAAAGGUAUGGACCUGGGAAGUAUUACAUACAGACUGGUAAUUCUAAUCUCUGCAAGCCACAAGAAGGUGCCAUGGUAAUCGUUGAUCCCAUAAUCGUGAAAACAAUAAAAUCAAAUUCGGGCGAGUGAUUAUAAAUGCCAUCGUCACUAACCAGAACCAACGAUGGGUCAGGUCAGCUCACUUACAAGUCUUCGGUGCACUAAACAAUUUCGAGCACUUCUUAAUAUUGGUGUGCUCUAGGGCACGUAAUGCGAUGAUGAUUCGGUUAAUUGUAUGUUUUCAUGAUACCGAUCUGCGAGAUACGCUGCAUCUAAAGGAAACUCUUUUCUUGCUUACAAUAUAGGAAUUUUCUGUCAGAUUAAGUUUUCGUGCCGCAGGUAUCAUAAAUUGUUAAAGUGAAUUUUGUUAUCAUAUGCGGUUCUUCACAUGCAAAAGGUGACAGCUAUCACCCUUGUCGCUCGAACCUUCUCGGGUACGCCUAGCUCAAACGAAGUCCGACACCAAUUUCGGCACAGCUGUACUAACAUCUCAAAUCAGUGUUAAUCUAUAGGAGGCCAUAUAAAAUGGUAAGGACAACUUUCCGCUCGGUAGUGACGCCCUACAAAAUCGCCAUUGUAUGCUGUUAACGGUGCAGUAGUACAAUGCUGUUUUUCCAAAUUUAUUGCCGCUCAUCGACCACAAGGACAUCGGUUCCAGUAGACGCGGCGACUCGUUAGGCUCUUCGGCGUAUGGCGUACAUAGGAAAGAUUGCGGUCGAUAAACGAUGGUUCUUAGGAGAAAAAAAAAGCGUUGCUUACGUAAACUUUAAAAAGAUUACGGCUGCAAUCGUGAGCAGAAGUAGUGAAAUUAGCGAUAAAGAUGCCACGAUCCCGGAAACGGCGACGGGAAGAAGUGAAGGCGCUUCAAAGGGGCACUCUCCUUCGUCGGCAAUAAAAUCUUCACGUACACUGUUGGAUUGUCGUGUCAAGGAAAAGUUAUUUCAUUCAAUGCUUUAGAUGCAACUCCGACGUGGACCUUUAGAUUCUGACCAUGCGGCUGAGAACUCGUUAGGAACGUUGAUCGUCGUCCGAUCAAAUCCUUAAUGAGGAACUUGUCUUCUUGCUAAUGUUAGGGGCGCCUGGUGGUCUAUGAUCGAAUCUGAACGUAGACACAAUUUGGGGGCCACAAUUGUCUGAUGCGUCUGAUGGCAACGCCGGAGGUACAACUUGCAACAUUUAAGUGCUUCGGUCGUUGGAAAAAACUGUUUCUUAUCAAAGAUAAGCAACGCGAUCGUAUUUACUUAAUGUAUAAUAAAAUUAAUAAAUUUCACCUAACGUAUAAUAGGGUUCGAGUAGAUUAAUAAAACGACUUAGAAGUGCGGGUCAUAGUCCGAAACCCUCGAAAGUUUGCUACACAGGUUUUCAAAGAGAAACUCUGCUUCGGGAGAUUUUAGCUAUUUUCAUUCGUAAAUACUGAGUAUUUCAA